rnacentral:rRNA from 1 species
GACGUAGGGCGCGAGCGUUGUCCGGAUUUAUUGGGCGUAAAGAGCUCGUAGGCGGCUUGUUGCGUCGGCUGUGAAAUCCCGUGGCUUAACUGCGGGCUUGCAGCUGAUACGGGCGGGCUGGAGUUCGGUAGGGGAGACUGGAAUUCCUGGUGUAGCGGUGAAAUGCGCAGAUAUCAGGAGGAACACCGGUGGCGAAGGCGGGUCUCUGGGCCGAUACUGACGCUGAGGAGCGAAAGCGUGGGGGAGCGAACAGG